UACGGGGGGUGCAAGCGUUGUUCGGAAUUAUUGGGCGUAAAGCGCGUGUAGGCGGUCUGAUUAGUCUGAUGUGAAAGCCCUGGGCUCAACCCAGGAAGUGCAUUGGAUACUGUCAGACUUGAAUACGGGAGAGGGUAGUGGAAUUCCUAGUGUAGGAGUGAAAUCCGUAGAUAUCAGGUGGAACACCAGUGGCGAAGGCGGCUUUCUGGACGAUAACUGACGCUGAGACGCGAAAGCGUGGGGAGCAAACAGG
rnacentral:rRNA from 1 species